AGUUCUAUAUAGAACGCGAGACAAAAUUGUGUUUAACGUUAUCACGAAAUAUACCUACGUCAUUUUUUGACGUGACAACGUCUUAUAAUUCGAUGGAGCCGGCUGCACGCACGAAAAAACAUAACUUAUGCGGCGUCACAUCGCUCUGAGGCGUUCCAUUUAAGGCUUGAAGUGCAAGCGAGAGCGCGCAACGAGCGACAAAGAGGCACAAUCGGCCUCCGCGUUCGGCAGCGUUCGACAUCUGUCUCUCUCCUACUUGAGUGAGCGAUGCAUCCGCGUGGACAGCUGCUAUACAAUAAUACAUUUACAUGUUUUCGUCAAGUAUGAAGUUCAGUGAAAAGUGAAUGUGGUGUCAAUUGUUUAUAGCAACGAUAAUUAAUUGCGAUAAUUGAAAAAUGAAACCAUUCCAUCAGUAUUUUCUUAUGACGUUGUCACGUUCAACUAUCGUCAGUAAACCGACUUUACAGACAACCGGAUUUUUGUGUUUGCGUUAUUGUUUGGCACACGGGCCCCUAGUGAUCGCCGCAGUUCGUAAACUUGCUCAUGAACAUAUUUAGAUGAUCCAAUUAACUAAAUUUUCAUCGUAUCGUAUUAUAUUUAGCAUUAGUCCCAGUAAAGCGUAAAUAUAGCUGGAUAGAGAUCAAAUAGGAGUGAAUGAAAAUGUGUAAUCAGACUUCGAAUUCGAGAAUCUUUACGAGUAUAAUUCUACAGUACGUGUGUAUGUCGCUAAGCUCCUAAACGGCUGGACCGAUUUGAAUUAAGUUUUUUGUAUGCAUUUGGGUUGCGCUCUGGAUGGCUUAGAUUCACAAAUUAUCCCAGCAGAUAGCACUACAGUUUGUAUCUAGGUCAUUUAUCUAUACUGCUACUAAACGGCGGGAUCGCUGUUAAAUGAAUUUUUGUGUAUGCAUUUAUUCACAAGACAACGUCUGACGAGUCCGCUAGUUCAAUAUAUAUUGAAUUACAUCAAAACAACACGUCAUAUAUAAUGUCGCGAUAUCGCUACGUCGGUUCUAUUCGCACAUACUUAAAAUCAUUGAGCUAUUUUUAAAUUUUGGCAAGAUGUACACACGGAAACGUACCGUAACCGCACAAUACGUCGGCGCACGCGAUUACGACCGGUAUUCCGUUCCGAUAAAGCCGUAUUUUAAUCAUUUGCAACCGGCUUGAUAACAAUUGAAGGCUUCUCAACACGUGUGCAUAGUGGAAAUAAGUCGACACGAUUGAAGCCAUACGUUUACGAAGUAAGAGCGAGAUUGGUCGUGUUUGCUUUUGUCCGUCGAUAACAAAAAUACUCGGAAAAUUCGUGACUAUGUAAAUUGUAAACUGAAGUGACGCUUCGUGAAAAUUAAUUAAGAGUGAAGAGAUAAGAUGACAAACAUUUGUAAGGCAAAAUGAAUAUAGUUCUUUCGGAGUUAACAGGCGAUCUAAUUCAUUUUAUGUUACGUACUUAUUAUGAAGAAGAACCUCGGCCGCAAUAAUGUGGAACUAUUCAGCGGUAGACAACCCGGGACAAAUCAAUAGGAUAGACAGAGUUCGUCUCUUCUGUUCAGAGUGUAUUGUGUGCUUUUGUAUUUUAUUCUUCAUAGUAUGCGUUGGUCUGUUACUGUACCUCUUCUUUCAUUUGUAUAACACGUUGUCGGCUGACGCCAAAAUUGUAGUCGAGAGCUGACUGAAACGCGUGUGUGUGUGUGUCGUAAUCGGCUUUACAAUUUUAAAAUUUAUCAUAUCAAAUCUUAAUUUACAACCAUGCUUUAGGCAUCACUGAACACAAUUAUUUUUAAGCCUUGAUGGGUUAAAAUGAAUUGUUAUGAAUAACAACGAGGAUGAGUCAUUUCUAACAAUAAAAAUUAAUGCUAGUCGAAUCGAAUGAAUUAGUUAUAGUAAAAUAGGAAGUCAUUGUAUUAAAUAUAGACUUUUUUAGCUUGGAUUGCAGUGUCUUCGUUUUGAAAAAGAAAUGUAUUCUAUUGCAGAGACGCACUGGAACUUUACCAUCCACGAAGAUCAUUAAAAUACUGCAUUAUAAAAUGGCUUCGAUAUUUGUAAUAGAUAUGGGUUGUGAACCGCAGUUAGAAAACCCUAUUUAAAAUGUCCUCUUAAUAUUAUGUGAAAUGUAACUAUUUAACAUGGUAGCAGUACUUUGAUAGAAAAUCGAUCAACCAAUUAAUUCUAAAACAGACCAAAAAAAAUCUCUAAAUCAAAACAACAUUUGCGAGAUAAUUUCGCAUUCAUUAUUUUCGUUAUGUUAUUUCAAUAAUGAACGCGAUAAUAAAUCGUAAAAAUAGCUUUAAUUUUGUCUACGGCUCGAGAAAGACAUAGACACGAUUAACUGAAUUACAUAAUUGCAUAAGUAAUUAGUACAUAUAACUUCGCGAGACAACAAACUCAAGGCUAAAAUAAAUAACAUGUCAAAAGAAACAAAGUGAAACUAAAUAACAUUGUAUAAUAAAUUAAAGAGUUCCUAUUUAAAUUGUCAUCCGUGUUGGCGUUAUCAAAUGCGUAAAAUGAAAAAUAUUAAUGAAUAUUAUAUAAAAUUAGCUAUAAAUGAGUGAUUGACUUGUUUGGGAUGAAGCACUUUUUAAUUAAGAACACGCCUAAAUACAAAAAAAUGGAAAAUUAGAGAAAGUUUAAAUUCAUGAAAUCGUAACUUUUUUGACCGCAAAAUUGAAAACGACCUAUUCAAUGAAAUUCGUAAACUGUUCUAAUUUUAUAUUCGCAACAAGAACUCGGUCUAAAGUAUAGUUUCCGAGCAAUGAUACUUUAUUUAAAGUUAUACUAUACUUAUACUGUAAGUUCGAUGCAAAAUAUUGCUUUUUAAUAGGACGAAAUUCAAGCAACAUUCCCUAUCAGACCGAAUUAAGAAACGUAAUAAGGGAUAAUACUACAACUUUGAGAAACAUAUAACAAAGAAACAAUAAACUUAAUGUAACAAGAUAAGACAGAUAAAAUUCUAAACCAAACAAACACUACGACACAAUCCCAAAAGAAUCAUUUACGAUUGAUACAAAAUUAAACAACAAUAAAUCAUGUUGUAUUGAUGUUCCAAAAAAAACACAUAUUAAUAAUUAAAAGUAGGUCCCGUAGUUCAAAGCGUUAAUGACCUUUUUUAUUAUCAUAUCGUAGGUAAAACGAGGACAUUGUAAUAUUUAAAACAAAAGACGUCUCUAGGCAUCUACGUACAUAUAUAUCGGUUUAUGUAGACUAGUUGAUAAGAUUGUAACUUUAAAAAAGUACUUAGUAAAAUGUUGUUUUUUA